rfam:Elusimicrobia bacterium RIFCSPLOWO2_01_FTLL_60_11 rifcsplowo2_01_scaffold_25048, whole genome shotgun sequence.
CUGAUAAGAUAAUCCCAGUCAAAGACAGCAGGUGCCUUGAUUCAAGGGCUUAAUUUCCUGCCGAGACGAAAAGCGUCAGCCACAUUUCCGGCGCCCGUCCGAUUUUUGACGGGUGCUUUUUUUAUUCCUUA